rnacentral:rRNA from 1 species
UGGGGAAUUUUGGACAAUGGGCGCAAGCCUGAUCCAGCAAUGCCGCGUGCAGGACGAAGGCCUUCGGGUUGUAAACUGCUUUUGUACGGAACGAAAAGGCUCUGGUUAGUACCUGGGGCUCAUGACGGUACCGUAAGAAUAAGCACCGGCUAACUACGUGCCAGCAGCCGCGGUAAUACGUAGGGUGCAAGCGUUAAUCGGAAUUACUGGGCGUAAAGCGUGCGCAGGCGGUUAUAUAAGUCAGAUGUGAAAUCCCCGGGCUCAACCUGGGACCUGCAUUUGAGACUGUAGAGCUAGAGUACGGUAGAGGGGGAUGGAAUUCCGCGUGUAGCAGUGAAAUGCGUAGAUAUGCGGAGGAACACCGAUGGCGAAGGCAAUCCCCUGGACCUGUACUGACGCUCAUGCGCGAAAGCGUGGGGAGCAAACA